rnacentral:rRNA from 1 species
GACAGAGGUGCCAAGCGUUAGGCGGAAUCACUGGGCGUAAAGGGCGCGUAGGCGGCGCGAGUAGUCAACGGUGAAAGCCCGGGGCUCAACCCCGGGUCGGCCGUCGAUACUCUCGUGCUUGAGCACUGUAGAGGCAGGUGGAAUUCCGGGUGUAGCGGUGGAAUGCGUAGAUAUCUGGAGGAACACCGGUGGCGAAGGCGGCAUCCUGGACCGACACUGACACUGAGGAGCGAAAGCCAGGGGAGCAAACGGG